rnacentral:rRNA from 1 species
AAGUCGAACGAUCUUAUUGAGUUUUUUGGCUUCGGUCAGAAGACUUGAUUUGAUAGUGGCAAAAGGGUGAGUAAUGGGUGGAUAAUCUACCUUCGAGUCUGGGAUAACAUCUCGAAAGGGAUGCUAAUACCGGAUAAGACCACGACCCCGCAUGGGGUUGAGGUAAAAGAUGGGGACCGUAAGGCCUAUCACUUGAGGAUGAGUCCGCUUCCUAUCAGCUUGUUGGUGGGGUAAUGGCCUACCAAGGCAACUACGGGUAGCUGGUCUGAGAGGAUGGUCAGCCACACUGGGACUGAGACACUGCCCAGACUCCUACGGGAGGCUGCAGUCGAGAAUCUUUCGCAAUGGACGCAAGUCUGACGAUGCGACGCCGCGUGAGUGAUGAAGGUCUUCGGAUCGUAAAGCUCUGUCAAGUGGGACGAACGUCCUGAAGGUGAAUAACCUGAUGGGCUGACUGUACCGCUAGAGGAAGCCAUGGCUAACUCCGUGCCAGCAGCCGCGGUAAUACGGGGAUGGCAAACGUUGUUCGGAUUCAUUGGGUGUAAAGGGUAUGUAGGUGGCCUUGUAAGUCGAGUGUGAAAUCCUUUGGCUUAACCAAAGAACUGCACUCGAAACUGCUGGGCUUGAGUUUCGAAGAGGAGAGUGGAAUUCCUAGUGUAAGAGUGAAAUCUGUAGAUAUUAGGAGGAACACCAG